GUGAAAUGCUUAGAUAUUACACAGAAUAUCGAUUGCGAAGGCAACUCACAAAGCCAUUAUUGACGCUGAGGCACGAAAGUGUGGGGAUCAAACAGGAUUAGAUACCCUGGUAGUCCACACUGUAAACGAUGAUAACUAGCUGUCGGCGAUAGAUAGUCGGUGGCCAAGCGAAAGCGAUAAGUUAUCCACCUGGGGAGUACGACCGCAAGGUUGAAACUCAAAGGAAUUGACGGGGGCCCGCACAAGCGGAGGAACAUGUGGUUUAAUUCGAUGAUACGCGAGGAACCUUACCCGGGCUCGAACGGUGCAGUAAUAUGGUAGAGAUAUCAUAGCUAGCAAUAGACUGUAUCGAGGUGCUGCAUGGUUGUCGUCAGCUCGUGCCGUGAGGUGUCGGCUUAAGUGCCAUAACGAGCGCAACCCUUGUCGUUAGUUACCAUCAAAUAAAGUUGGGGACUCUAGCGAGACUGCCACCGUAAGGUGUGAGGAAGGGGGGGAUGACGUCAAAUCAGCACGGCCCUUACGUCCGGGGCGACACACGUGUUACAAUGGUAGGUACAGAGGGCCGCUACCCAGUGAUGGGGUGCCAAUCUCAAAAACCUAUCUCAGUUCGGAUCGGAGUCUGCAACUCGACUCCGUGAAGUUGGAUUCGCUAGUAAUCGCGCAUCAGCCAUGGCGCGGUGAAUACGUUCCCGGGCCUUGUACACACCGCCCGUCAAGCCAUGGAAGCUGGGGGUGCCUGAAGUUCGUGACCGGAAGGAGCGACCUAGGGCAAAACUAGUAACUGGGGCUAAGUCGUAACAAGGUAACC
rnacentral:rRNA from 1 species